GACGAACGCUGGCGGCGUGCUUAACACAUGCAAGUCGAACGGAAAGGCCCUGCUUGCAGGGUACUCGAGUGGCGAACGGGUGAGUAACACGUGGGUGAUCUGCCCUGCACUUCGGGAUAAGCCUGGGAAACUGGGUCUAAUACCGGAUAGGAGCCAUUUUUAGUGUGAUGGUUGGAAAGUUUUUUCGGUGUAGGAUGAGCUCGCGGCCUAUCAGCUUGUUGGUGGGGUAAUGGCCUACCAAGGCGGCGACGGGUAGCCGGCCUGAGAGGGUGGACGGCCACAUUGGGACUGAGAUGCGGCCCAGGCUCCUACGGGAGGCAGAAGGGGGGAAUAUUGCACAAUGGGCGCAAGCCUGAUGCAGCGACGCCGCGGGGGGGAUGACGGCCUUCGGGUUGUAAAAUCCUUUCGCUAGGGACGAAGCUUUUUGUGACGGUACCUAGAUAAGAAGCACCGGCUAACUACGUG
rnacentral:rRNA from 1 species